GAGGAAAGAGCUCAAAGUUGGAAACUGUUUGGCUUAGCUAAACCGUAUUGUAAACUGUAGAAACAUUUUCCUGGCACGCCGGAUUAAUAAGUCCUUUGGAACAAGGCAUCAUGGAGGGUGAGAAUCCCGUCUUUGAUCCGAGUAGUUGUCUUUUGUGAUAUGUUUUCAAAGAGUCAGGUUGUUUGGGAAUGCAGCCUAAAUUGGGUGGUAAAUCUCACCUAAAGCUAAAUAUUUGCGAGAGACCGAUAGCGAACAAGUACCGUGAGGGAAAGAUGAAAAGAACUUUGAAAAGAGAGUUAAACAGUAUGUGAAAUUGUUAAAAGGGAACCGUUUGGAGCCAGACUGGUUUGACUGUAAUCAACCUAGAAUUCGUUCUGGGUGCACUUGCAGUCUAUACCUGCCAACAACAGUUUGAUUUGGAGGAAAAAAUUAGCAGGAAUGUAGCCUCUCGAGGUGUUAUAGCCUGCUAUCAUACUCUGGAUUGGACUGAGGAACGCAGCGAAUGCCUUUAGGCGAGAUUGCUGGGUGCUUUCGCUAAUAAAUGUUAGAAUUUCUGCUUCGGGUGGUGCUAAUGUUUAAAGGAGGAACACAUGCUAGUAUAUUUUUUAUUC
rnacentral:rRNA from 1 species